rnacentral:tRNA from 1 species
GGAGAGGUGGCCGAGUGGUUUAUGGCGCACGCCUGGAAAGCGUGUUUCCCGGAAACGGGAUCGGGGGUUCGAAUCCCCCUCUCUCCG